CGUGUAGGCGGUCAGGUAAGUGGAAUGUGAAAUGCCCCGGCUCACCCGGGGACCGGCAUCCCAAACUGCCUGGCUUGAGUAUGGGAGAGGAUGGAGGAAUUCCUGGUGUAGCGGUGAAAUGCGUAGAUAUCAGGAGGAAUACCGGUGGCGAAGGCGUCCAUCUGGCCCAAUACUGACGCUGAGGCGCGAAAGCUAGGGGAGCAAACGG
rnacentral:rRNA from 1 species